CUUAAACGUUGAAUGUUUUCAGUAGCUCGGGUUGUCAUUUUCCCCUAUGACACUGGUGUGGAUUUCCCCAGCGUCACCUCCCAAAGAGGCAGGCAGGGACGUGGUGACCCCUGCGGUCUUUCUGUUAGAAAGGCUACAGAUAUGCAGCAAAGACAAAGAAGGGUAAGGGUGGGCCAGCAGUAAGUACAGAACAACCCAGAUCGGAAUCGAAGAGCCCGAGUGCUCAUUUCUAAAAUGGUAAACCCAAAAGGGUUGGCCCUGAGCUUAUGCAACGUCCCUCCGCAGUGUGCCAGCAUUUUGAGAGGCUCAGAGCUGUGCCAGCAGUUUGAGGCUCAGAGCGCAGGAGAGGUGAAGUGACUUUUGUUCUUCCCUCUGUAACUAAAGCUGGCCACACCCUCUGGCAUCAGACUGAGUAGGAAAAAGGCCUCAGGGUGUCCUGUGCUGGGGACACCAGGUGACUGUACAGAGUCCAUGCCAGGCAGGAGAUUCCAGCAGGUGCAGGGCUGACGAAAUGCCGACUUGCUGAAAUGCGCAAGCGUGGAGGGUUUUCCUGCCUGGGCGGAGCCUCCAGGUCACUGAGCUGGAGGGCCUUUAGGCGAAAGGCAUCUGCCUUUGGGGACUUGUAUGAAUCUUAAGAUGCACAUGUGUGCAGGAACCUGAAUAAGCCAGGAGAGGGCGCUGCAUCACUUGGAGCUGGAGUUAGAGAUGGCU
rnacentral:sRNA from 1 species